rnacentral:rRNA from 1 species
UACAGAGGUCCCAAGCGUUGUUCGGAUUCACUGGGCGUAAAGGGUGCGUAGGUGGUGAGGUAAGUCGGAUGUGAAAGCUCGGAGCUCAACUCCGAAAUGGCAUUGGAAACUACCUUGCUCGAGGGUUGGAGGGGGGACUGGAAUACUUGGUGUAGCAGUGAAAUGCGUAGAUAUCAAGUGGAACACCAGUGGCGAAGGCGAGUCCCUGGACAGCUCCUGACACUGAGGCACGAAAGCGAGGGGAGCAAACAGG